GCCCUGACCCCCCCGGGCUGGGGGCUGCCCGCAGAGCCGCGGAAACUUCCCCCGCGCUCCGCCGCACUCACCAGGAGCUGGGUGCCAGUGGAAUGUGUUGCACUGGAACAUUUCCCUCUGAUGCUGGGCAGUUUCCUCCCCACUGGAAGUCCUGAAGAGAGAUAAAGAAACAUUGCAGAAAAAUGC